rnacentral:tRNA from 1 species
AGCUCAGUGGUAGAGCACAUGCUUAGCAUGCAUGAGGUCUUGGGUUCAAUCCCCAG